AAUUUAUAAUUUUUUUUUAUGGUUUUUCCUCCGGAUUAUAAUAAAAUUUAUUUUGUAAUUAAUUUGAUGUAUAGGACAUGGGGUUUUUUCGUGUAACUUUUUUAUUAAUUAAGUUUUCCUUUUGUGUUUUUGCAUCAAACAACUUCAUUGAAUUGGGUUGGCGUAAGUGCGUUCUCACCUCAACAUGAAGCUUAUUAAUGAAGUGGACAAAAUAUUUAAGUGGCAAUGUCUGAUUCGUGUGCUUAAUGAUGGCGAUGUACCGUGUACGUAUAUUUGGGUGUAAGGAAAAGUAGAACCACAGGAAAAUGAAAGUACGUACGAGGAAGAAGAUAUGUUAUAAUUGGGUCCGCCUCAUUGCUGAUUACUCAGCCUUUGGUUAGGUUUCUUGCAUGCAAGGAAGAUUAAAUAUUACUACCUUACUUUCUUACUACUUAUCACAUCUGAAAAAGAUAGUUAAUUUCAAAAUAUUUAUCACAUUUGUGAUUU